rnacentral:SRP_RNA from 1 species
UAAUAAUGUCAUUACAACAUUAUCGGGGUGAACCUUGUCAGGCCAGAGAUGGAGCAGCAACAAUUCUGUUUUGUGUGUAGUGACUCUUUUUAUUGU